rnacentral:rRNA from 1 species
CCUACGGGAGACAGCAGUGAGGAAUAUUGGACAAUGGGCGUAAGCCUGAACCAGCCAAGUCGCGUGAGGGAUGAAGGUUCUAUGGAUCGUAAACCUCUUUUAUAAGGGAAUAAAGUGUGGGACGUGUCCUGUUUUGUAUGUACCUUAUGGAUAAGGCUCGGCUAACUCCGUGCCAGCAGCCGCGGUAAUACGGAGUAUCCGAGCGUUAUCCGGAUUUAUUGGGUGUAAAGGGUGCGUAGGCGGCCUUUUAAGUCAGUGGUGAAAGUCUGUGGCUCAACCAUAGAAUUGCCGUUGAAACUGGGAGGCUUGAGUAUGGUUGAGGCAGGUGGAAUGCGUGGUGUAGCGGUGAAAUGCUUAGAUAUCACGCAGAACCCCGAUUGCGAAGGCAGCCUGCCAAGCUAUGACUGACGCUGAUGCACGAAAGCGUGGGGAUCAAACAGGAUUAGAUACCCUAGUAGUC